UCCGCGAAACGCACCGGGUGUGCGGCCAGACUGUUAAUCUGUGUGAGCUUGGUUCAAGCCCAAGUCGCGGAGCCA
rnacentral:tRNA from 1 species